rnacentral:rRNA from 1 species
AUGACGGUACCGUAAGAAUAAGCACCGGCUAACUACGUGCCAGCAGCCGCGGUAAUACGUAGGGUGCAAGCGUUAAUCGGAAUUACUGGGCGUAAAGCGUGCGCAGGCGGUUUUGUAAGACAGGCGUGAAAUCCCCGGGCUCAACCUGGGAAUUGCGCUUGUGACUGCAAGGCUGGAGUGCGGCAGAGGGGGAUGGAAUUCCGCGUGUAGCAGUGAAAUGCGUAGAUAUGCGGAGGAACACCGAUGGCGAAGGCAAUCCCCUGGGCCUGCACUGACGCUCAUGCACGAAAGCGUGGGGAGCAAACAGGAUUAGAUACCCUGGUAGUCCACGCCCUAAACGAUGUCAACUGGUUGUUGGGAAUUUACUUUCUCAGUAACGAAGCUAACGCGUGAAGUUGACCGCCUGGGGAGUACGGCCGCAAGGUUGAAACUCAAAGGGCAGCCAACCCGCGAGGGGGAGCCA